UACGAGGGGGGCAAGCGUUGUUCGGAAUUAUUGGGCGUAAAGGGCGCGUAGGCGGUUUGACAAGUCUGAUGUGAAAUCUCUGGGCUCAACCCAGAGUCUGCAUUAGAAACUGUCGGGCUUGAGUAUGGGAGAGGUGAGUGGAAUUUCCGGUGUAGCGGUGAAAUGCGUAGAUAUCGGAAGGAACACCUGUGGCGAAAGCGGCUCACUGGACUAUAACUGACGCUGAGGCGCGAAAGCUAGGGGAGCAAACAG
rnacentral:rRNA from 1 species